rnacentral:misc_RNA from 1 species
GAUGAAGAACGUAGCGAAAUGCGAUACGUAAUGUGAAUUGCAGAAUUCAGUGAAUCAUCGAAUCUUUGAACGCACCUUGCGCUCCUUGGUAUUCCGAGGAGCAUGCCUGUUUGAGUGUCAUUAAUAUAUCAACCUUCUCUUUUUUGAGUUGUUUGGAUGUGGGGGUUUGCUGGCCUCUUAAAUGAUUCAGCUCCCCUGAAAUGCAUUAGCAGAACAACCUGUUCAUUGGCGUGAUAAUUAUCUAUGCUAUUGAAUGUGAGGGCAGUUCAGCUUUCUAACCGUCCUUGGACAAUUCAUCAUUAAUGUGACCUCAAAUCAGGUAGGACUACCCGCUGAACUUAAGCAUAUCAAUAAGCGGAGGA